rnacentral:rRNA from 1 species
CUUGCCCCGCAAACCGACCCGCGAACACGUUAGUUAWCAACACAGCCGGGGGGUGAGGGUGCCGUCGCGCCCCGAGCCCCCUCGGCGCCCGCGGGUGCGCUAUCGGGCCUCGCUACGCCUUCGUGGCGGGUGGGAUGCUCGGUCACGUCGCUCGCGGCCUAACAACGAACCCCCGGCGCGAGUCGCGCCAAGGAAUCGGAAAAUACGAUGAAAGAGCACGUCCCGCUGCCAGCCGGCCCCGUCCGCGGGGUCCGCGCGGGCAGCGACGUGACUCCCGUGUCGCGAAAGAGAUAAAAUACGAAAUGACUCUCGGCAACGGAUAUCUCGGCUCUCGCAUCGAUGAAGAANGUAGCGAAAUGCGAUACUUGGUGUGAAUUGCAGAAUCCCGUGAACCAUCGAGUCUUUGAACGCAAGUUGCGCCCGAGGCCACUAGGCCGAGGGCACGCCUGCCUGGGUGUCACGCAUCGUCGCCCCCUCUAAUCCCUCGGCCCCCCGGGGUACGGAARAGGCGGGGGCGGAAAAUGGCCUCCCGUGCGCUUCUCGCUCGCGGUUGGCCUAAAAUCGAGUCCUCGGCAACGACAAAGCGCCGCGACGAUCGGUGGUGAUGCCUCGAGCGCGCCUCGUCCCUCGGUCGCGUGCGCUUUCGUUGCCCCGGACCCAUCGAGACCCUUGCUAGCGUCGCACAAGCGUCGCACGCGUCGCGACCCCAGGUCAGGCGGGAUUAC